rnacentral:rRNA from 1 species
UACAGAGGGUGCAAGCGUUGUUCGGAAUUAUUGGGCGUAAAGCGCGUGUAGGCGGCUUUGCAAGUUGGGUGUGAAAUCCCUCGGCUCAACCGAGGAAGUGCGCCCAAAACUGCAUGGCUUGAGUCUCGGAGAGGAUGGCGGAAUUCCCCAAGUAGAGGUGAAAUUCGUAGAUAUGGGGAGGAACACCGGUGGCGAAGGCGGCCAUCUGGACGAAGACUGACGCUGAGACGCGAAAGCGUGGGGAGCAAACAGGG